CUGGAGGUUCAUCUGAGACCAGGAACCUCUGGAGGUUCAUCUGAGACCAGGAACCUCUGGAGGUUCAUGGGAGGAGAUCAGGAACAUCUGGAGGUUCAUAGGAGGAGACCAGGAACAUCUGGAGGUUCAUAGGAGGAGACCAGGAACAUCUGGAGGUUCAUAGGAGGAGACCAGGAGCCUCUGGAGGUUCAUAGGAGGAGACCAGGAACAUCUGGAGGUUCAUCUGAGACCAGGAACAUCUGGAGGUUCAUAGGAGGAGACCAGGAACAUCUGGAGGUUCAUAGGAGGAGACCAGGAGCCUCUGGAGGUUCAUGGGAGGAGAUCAGGAGCAUCUGGAGGUUCAUAGGAGGAGACCAGGAACCUCUGGAGGUUCAUAGGAGGAGACCAGGAACAUCUGGAGGUUCAUAGGAGGAGACCAGG
ensembl:lncRNA